GAUUUUACUGACCUUUUAAGUCGGUAUAGGGGCCCAAAGUCGGUCACCCACUUGUAUAAAUACCCCUUAAGGGUUCCAUUUGUAGGCAUCCUUGGAAAUCCUUAGGAAUUCACAAUAAUACACUUGUUUUCUCAAUUCUUUCAAGCUUUCUCUACUCUUUGCCUACUUUGCCCUUCUCUUAAGCCCUUUUCCACUUCUAGCAAUUCUCCCAAAAACUUCUAAGGCUUACAUUGGUGCUUUCUAACCUUUGUGCCGCACAUUGGUUAGGUGACAAAAAUAACGACGUGACACUACACUCUGUAUACAUUCGCAUGGGAAAACAUCAUAGGAUUUCGAUCUUAUUCUGUUGACCAUUGGGAUCGAAGUAAAGAUUAAUAGCGACAGACGGAGGCAUUCGUAUUUCAUAGUCAGACGUGAAAUUCUUGGAUUUAUGAAAGACGAACAACCACGAAAACAAUUGCCAAGGAUGUUUUCAUUAAUCAAGAAUGAAAGUUGGGGGCACAAAGACGAUCAGAUACAGUCCUAGUCCAACCCGUAAACAAUAUCGACCAGGGAUUGCCGGAUGUUGCUUUAAGGACUUUGCCAACACUUUAUGAGAUAUCAAAGUCUUUGGGUUCCGGAGGGAGUAUGGUCGCAAGGCUGAAACUUAAAGGAAUUGACGGAAGGGCACCACCAGGCGUGGAGCCUGCGACUUAAUUUGACUCAACAGAGGGAAACUUACCAGGUCCAGACGUAGUAAGGAUUGACAGGUUUAGAGCUCUUUCUUAAUUCUAUGAGUAGUGAUGCAUGGCUGUUCUUAGUUGGUGGAGCGAUUUGUCUGGUUAAUUCCAUUAACAAACGAGACCUCAACUUGCUAACUAGCUAUGCGGAGGUACCCUUCCGCAGCUAGCUUCUUAGAGGGAUUAUGGCCGCUUAGGCUAAGGAAGUUUGAGGCAAUAACAUGUCUGUGAUGCCCUUAGAUGUUAUGGGCCGCACGUGCGCUACACUGAUGUAUACAAUGAGUCUAUAGCCUUGACCGACAGGCCCAGGUAAUCUUUAAAAUUUCAUCGUGAUGGGGAUAGAUCAUUGCAAUUGUUUCCGUAGGUAAACCUUAUCAUUUAAAGGAAGGAGAAGUUGUAACAAGGUUUUCAUAGGUGCACCUAUGGAAGGAUCAUAC
rnacentral:ncRNA from 1 species